UGCUCUUUGGUGGAAUUGGUAACACAUCGCACUUUGAAUGCGAAGAGUCUAGGUUCGAACCCUAGAGGAGCAA
rnacentral:tRNA from 1 species